rnacentral:rRNA from 1 species
UACGUAGGGUGCGAGCGUUUAAUCGGAAUUACUGGGCGUAAAGCGUGCGCAGGCGGCGCGUUAAGACAGGUGUGAAAGCCCCGAGCUUAACUUGGGAAUUGCGCUUGUGACUGGCGUGCUGGAGUGUGGCAGAGGGGAGGUGGAAUUCCACGUGUAGCGGUGAAAUGCGUAGAGAUGUGGAGGAACACCGAUGGCGAAGGCAGCCUUCUGGGCCAACACUGACGCUCAUGCACGAAAGCGUGGGGAGCAAACAGG